GCAGCCGGGCGAGCCGGGCAUAGUUGCGUUAUCGCACUCGCAUGGCAGUGUGGUCUGUUUGCGACUGUUCUGAAUGUGCUGCCGCUGCCAUUUGUCGUGUAUCAGGUGCACAGUGCUGCCAACGGGUGGAGCCAUUUCUUUCACUAAUACGGAUGAAGAAUUUCCACAGAUUAAAAAAAAGUUGGUGCUACCGGUGCUGUGCAAUGACUUCAGCUUGACUUGGAAUUUGCCCAGCACAAAAUGAAGGUUUGGUGAAGAGACGCCUGCAGGCGGCACAUAUCGAUAUGUGGCUCUUCCCUUGAGCUAAGUCUCUCCUGAAUGCACACUGGAGGCAAGCACCUGACAUGAGUUUCUGCAUGCCAGGCAACUAU